AAGAAAAGUAAAAACAAGGUACCUGCCUUCAAAGUUUAUACUCUAGUGAUGAAGACAACAUAUAAAUAACUAUGUAUAUACAUAUUUAUUUAGUGUAAACCAAAGGUAACGUCAGAGGAAUAGUUCUUGGAGAGGAGGAGAAUGGGGUGGCAAAGGCUUCCUGCCUGGAUGGUGUGAAUUUACCCCUUACCGUGAGAUUGAACUGAAUCUUGAAGGAAAUCAAGAGGCAGAGAUGAGGAAGUACAACAUUCCAGGCACUGGGGAUAACAAGCUAAAAAGGGGCGGGGGAGUGAGUAUAUAGUGUUCAAGAAACUAGAAAUAGAUAGGCUUAGAUCCUGGAGUUUGCAGAGAGAAGUAUAUGAAUGAAAAGACGGAAUCGGGCCAGGUUGUGAAGGUCUUUAAAAGGACAAGUAAAGGGAAUUUGAUUCUGGAGGUAAUGCGGAACCAUGGAGAUUACUGAGGGUGUGGGGAGUAUGGGAUUGACAUAAUCAUACCUGGAUUUUAGUAAAGAGUUUAGACACCUGAGUGGAGAGUGAAUUGGAAUAGAGAAGAGACACUUGAGACAGGAAACCACUGGGUAUGUCACUUAAUUUCUCAUCCUCAAUUUCCCCCAUCGGUAAAAAGAGGAGGUUGAACCCAAUAAUUUCCAAGCUUCACACCUAUGAGCCUAAAUCCCUUGAUCUUUCUGACUCUCAGUUUCCUCGCCUGAGGAAAAGUGGCCCUUGUGUCCACCUGCUUAGAGGCUCCCCAGGUCCCCUCUGUGCCCACUCCCCAAAUGCUGCCUCACCUUCGCUCCCUACCGCCCACCCCCAAACAGCCUCCCCUCCCGACCAGGGACACAGCCCUGUCCCCUAACCCGGGCCGGAGCCCCUCAGGGGGGUUUUCCCCCGACAGGUGAGACCCGGCUAGGGCGGAGAGACUGAAGACGGGGGUACCUGGAGGAUAAUAUCGGAGCAGGAGCCUUUUAAGCUUCAUUCUCUCGCUCACCGAGCACCGGCCAGAGGCCUUCAUAGCCAUGGCAACCGCCUAACAGAAGCUGCCCGGCUGGUCAACGCUUGCGCAUGCGCUCACAGGGGCGCCCUUUGCCUGGCGGGUGGCAAGAGCCUGGAGAUCCUACUUACCUGGUGUGGGAUUCCCUCCCCGGAGCUAGCGGAGGCCUCUCGGGUCCGCCCAGAACAGAAUUAAGAGGAAAGUUCGACACCUUUUUUGGGUACUGAACUCCUUGUGACAGCUCGCUAAAGCCACCUCUUGACUCCUUCUCAGGAUUCUAUUUUUAAAUGCUCGAAAUAAAAUGCCUGGAAACCAACGAUGAUGAAAUACAGUUUUCAAAAUAUUUAAAAAACAAGUUCUCGGAUCCCGGGUUAAGAACCUCUCAUCUAGAGGUGGCUGCGGGACGCUCUGGAGGGUCUCUACAGAUUACAGACUGCAUUUUGGCUCACUCACAAUCAAUUCUUUUGGCCAAGAAUUUGGGAGGAAACUACCUGGAGAAGAGGGGGAUAAAAAGGGGAUCCUAGGAUAUUUACCAAAGGAAGCUUCCUCUGUAAAGAGUGACUUUGCCAAGGUCAUAGAGCUAGAAGUAAAACUCAAAUUCCCUGAACUCGAGUCUACUGAUCUCUGAUGGGAGCCCUAAAAGGGACAGGAGAGGAGAUGAAGGAGAGAAAAUCUCUGUAGGUUCUGAAGUGUCUCUCAAGGGGUCAUAGGGAGAUAUUGAAGACUUUUGAGUGGGGCAAUAGCAUGAUCAGAUGUGGAUUUUAGAACUAUCAACUUGGCAACUGUGUGGAGCAUGGAUUCAGAAGGGAAGUGACUGGAGGCUGGGAAUAUAAAUUGGAGGCUGUUGCAAUAGCCCAGAUGAGAGACAAUGAAGGUCUGAACUUCAGUAAAGGUUAUGUGAAUGGAGAGAAAGGUUUAUGUGUAUGUGUAUAUACACAUGAAUAUAGGCAUAAGUGCAAACAUGUGAGUGUGUGAAUGUGUGUGUAUAUACAUACAUAUUAUAUGCAAUGUUGUAAAGGUAGAACCAAAAAAAUCUGACAAUUGAAUGGAUAGAAGGUUGAAGUAUAGCAAAGAGACAAGGAGAGCAUCAGGAUGGUAUGCCUGGGGAAUUAGAAGGACAGUGUAUCAUCAAAAGGAAGAGAGAAGUUUGGAAGAGAUAAAGGUUUUAGAUGAAAUUGGCCCCAUUUUAGGAGGUUUGUUUUUCAGAUGUCUGUGGGACAUUCAGUAGCUGAAUGGAGAAGGUAGUUGGUAACAUUGGAUUGGAAUUCAGAAAAGAGUUUUAGGGCAGAAUAUAGCUAUAGAUUUGGGAGUCGUGUGCAGACAAACUAUAUUUGAAUCCAUGGGAGUCAAACAGAGGGAUAGAGAAGGGGAGAGAACCCAGGACAUAGUUACUUAGCAGAAGAAAGAGAAGGAUCCAGAAAAUAAACUGAAAAAGAAAAGGCAGAAAAGUAUGAAGAAAUCAAAGAAAUAUCAAGGGCAAUAAUUCAAAUAAGAAGAGAGUAUCCACAAGAAGAUAGUGAUCGACAAUGUUAAAAGCCCAAAGAUGAAACAUUAAUUGAGAAAAUACUGUUAGAUUGGGUAGUUAAAAGAAUUUUUGGUAAUCUUGGAAAAAGCAGUAGAUGGGAUGGAAGCCAUUUUUCAAAACAUUGAGAAGUUAAUGGGAGGUGAAGAAAUGGAAGCAGUGAGCAUAAUAAACAACUCUUUCUAGAAAUCUGAUGAUAUAAAGGAGACAAACUAUAAAGCAACAGCUUGAAAGAAUGCAGAAUGAAGUGAAAGAUUUUUAGAACUAAGAAGACGUAGAUAUUUUCUGGAGAGACCAGAGAAGAAGCCAGUGGAUAAGAAGACUUUGAAGAUGAGAGAGAGAGAAAAAAAAGAGGA